UUAAAUUGAAGAGUUUGAUCAUGGCUCAGAUUGAACGCUGGCGGCAGGCCUAACACAUGCAAGUCGAACGGUAACAGAAAGCAGCUUGCUGCUUUGCUGACGAGUGGCGGACGGGUGAGUAAU
rnacentral:rRNA from 2 species